GUGGCAUUGGGUUGGACACUCCUUACCAAAGCCUGAUGUAGGUAAUGUGCAGUGUCCACAACAGAUUGUCUGAUGAAAGUCUUGAGCAAAGCGGUCACCAAAUUACGGGGUCUGGUCCCCUCCUGCUGAGGGCCCAGGACCCCCCCUUUUCCCGGGGGAACCGGGGGUCCAAUCCCCCAAGGGAACCCCGGGCCUUCCAACCUUCCCGGGAAAACCGGGGGUCUUCCUGUAAUUGGAUUUUUUAUGGCUUCCCCCUUUUCCUAAAGUUAUUACCCAUUAUCCAGGUUUUUUAUUUUUUGCUUUUUACCAUUCUGAAACAGCUUAAAUUUUGAAACAAUGGGGUAAACAUUAUUCUUCGUGAUAAACUGACAUUCUCUUAGUCUGUAUCAUAAUCGCUCCGAUAGAUGCAGAACGACACCUUCAAAGACACCUUCUAAGUGACUAGGUGAACACCUAAGAUGCCUUGGUAGAUGCCUUGGCAAAC
rnacentral:misc_RNA from 2 species